UACGUAGGCAGCAAGCGUUGUUCGGAGUUACUGGGCGUAAAGAGCUCGUAGGCGGCUUGUCGCGUCGACUGUGAAAACUCGGGGCUCAACUCCGAGCUUGCAGUCGAUACGGGCAGGCUAGAGUUCGGUAGGGGAGACUGGAAUUCCUGGUGUAGCGGUGAAAUGCGCAGAUAUCAGGAGGAACACCGGUGGCGAAGGCGGGUCUCUGGGCCGAUACUGACGCUGAGGAGCGAAAGCGUGGGGAGCGAACAGG
rnacentral:rRNA from 1 species